ensembl:lncRNA
GUGGAAACACACUUUCACCCGCAGGGAAUCUGGAGCUGGCAAAGGGCUGUAGCAAUGGACCUGCAGCUGGCGGAGGCUGGGAGCAUGGGCCUUAUCAGACACCUGGUGCUGGUGGUCUUGAGCUGACAGGUCUCAGCUCUGCACUUCGGGCAAGUCCCUCAGGCUCCCAAAGCCUGUGUUCUCAGCUUUAUCCAGUGAUGUGAUAAGGGUAUCCGCUUUGUCAACUUGCUGUAAGGAUUAAAUGAGAAAAUGCCUGAAAGCAUCUGUUAGCAUCGUCAUCAUCAUCAUCACUUCCAUCGUCACCAUUGUUACUACCAGUUUGGUUUUAGUGUGGAGGGUGAUCUUAAACAGGAGAGGGAAAAGAGGAAAAACAAUCAGUUAAGAAUCUAUUGCAAUAUUCCAGCUGGAAGAGGAUAAAAGCCUAAGCAGAGAGCCUAAGAGGCAGGAGGAAAGGCGCAGGGGAGGCUGAGAGGAGAAACACAUAGGAAGCAAAAGCAACUAUGCUUAAUGAAUACACAGAGAGAGGAGUGGAGGACGACUUUCACAUUGCUGCUUUAGAAGACCGGGGAUGACAGUGUUCCCUUGAUGAAGAAACUGAAGCCCAGAGAGGGAACAAUAAGAAGAUAAUACAAUAUGGACAGGGGGCUGUUGCUAUGCGAAAUUCCAGACACCCACUAGGGUGGGCAAUGGAUGGGUUAAGGCAGAGUCAAUCUGCCUCUCUCAGGAUGACAGCUGUUGCUAGGGAAGCCAGCAAUUACCAAAGAAGGCCAUAGAGACAUUGCUUAUGAAUCCGUCAACAGGUUAUGGAAAAAUAUGCAUCUUGCUUUAUAACUGACAAGCAAGACCUGCCUCUAAAUAAGAGUGGUUUGUUACUUUAUUCAGCAAUCAUUUAAUAAGUGCCCACACCACUCCAACUCCGGACACCUAGUGAACAUUGAAUGAAUUUUCUGAAUUAGCAGAGCUGUGAAAAAAACCUGCCAAGUAUGCAUCCUUGAUUGAUUGAUUACACAUGUCAUGGAUUUCAAGUUUUUAAAAAAUACAAUAAAAUUUGACAUGAUUUUAAAUAAAUUCUCAAUAUGCAAGAAGGACUAAAUUUAUUAUAAGCUUUCAUGCAAUCUUUUAAUUUUUGUUAUCCAAAAUAUGGGGGAUUUUCACCACCUCCACAACUGAGAGAUCUCAUGGACCCCAUUUUCUCCCUGCUUUAGACACAAACAAUAUUCAAACUCCCUCAACAAAGAGAUGUCACUAUAUUGUUUUUAGCAAUGUUUAUUGAGUAUAUUUGCCUGGAUUCAAUGUGUCCUUGUGUCCAAACUGUCAUAGAAGCGGAACUCCUGGUUUUGAUGGUGAGCUCAGGAAACAUUGCAAAUUACCUGCAUGCUGUUGUGAGUUUCACAACUGGAUCCUAAGUCCAGUGGCAGAGUGCAUCAUGCUAUGGGGAUUUCCAUGUUCAAUUUUGCUGAUCUGUAGAAACUGGCAUCUUUCUGUUCAGAUAUCUCUAUACGUGACAUUUCCUCAUGCCAUCUACCUUGGGGUUUCUCUUCAAAAGUAGUAAUGGUGCCUCAACUUUUAGGGACCUCCUAAAUACUUCCUCCAAAUGCCAACAGCUUUU